rnacentral:rRNA from 1 species
AUGGGGGAGGGUUGAAAGCUCCGGCGGUGAAGGAUGAGCCCGCGGCCUAUCAGCUUGUUGGUGGGGUGAUGGCCUACCAAGGCGACGACGGGUAGCCGGCCUGAGAGGGCGACCGGCCACACUGGGACUGAGACACGGCCCAGACUCCUACGGGAGGCAGCAGUGGGGAAUAUUGCACAAUGGGCGAAAGCCUGAUGCAGCGACGCCGCGUGAGGGAUGACGGCCUUCGGGUUGUAAACCUCUUUCAGCAGGGAAGAAGCGCAAGUGACGGUACCUGCAGAAGAAGCACCGGCUAACUACGUGCCAGCAGCCGCGGUAAUACGUAGGGUGCGAGCGUUGUCCGGAAUUAUUGGGCGUAAAGAGCUCGUAGGCGGCUUGUCACGUCGGAUGUGAAAGCCCGGGGCUUAACCCCGGGUCUGCAUUCGAUACGGGCAGGCUAGAGUGUGGUAGGGGAGAUCGGAAUUCCUGGUGUAGCGGUGAAAUGCGCAGAUAUCAGGAGGAACACCGGUGGCGAAGGCGGAUCUCUGGGCCAUUACUGACGCUGAGGAGCGAAAGCGUGGGGAGCGAACAGGAUUAGAUACCCUGGUAGUCCACGCCGUAAACGUUGGGAACUAGGUG